rnacentral:rRNA from 1 species
UACGGAGGGCGCAAGCGUUGUUCGGAAUCACUGGGCAUAAAGAGCAUGUAGGCGGUCUUUUAAGUCGGAUGUGAAAGCCCUCGGCCCAACCGGGGAACUGCAUUCGAUACUGAUGGACUUGAGGACAGGAGGGGUGAGUGGAACUUCAGGUGGAACGGUGAAAUGUGUAGAUAUCUGAAGGAACACCGGUGGCGAAAGCGGCUCACUGGCCUGUCUCUGACGCUGAGAUGCGAAAGCUAGGGUAGCGAAC